CCGGGGGGGGGUUCAAUCGGGGUGGAGAGGGGGAAAUAAAUAUUUUGAAAACGUUUUUUCAAAAUUUUUUUUAAGCAAAGAAAUUUCUUUUUUGAAUGGGGGUGGGUGGAUAAGGGUACUAACACCCGACGUCCGCCUCUUUACAUUUUAUAUAUAACGUAAUGUGAACAAUACUGCAAUUUCUUCACAUCAACUACUACUCCACACAUACACACAUAUAUAUAGUGUUUGAAGUGGUAUAGAUACAUUUCUUUUAUUAGCCACACAGGGCUCAACAAAGAUGGGACAAAUACAAUGUAGAGCUUUUCUUUUUGGGAGGGGAGGAAAUUAAAAAAGGGGGGUGUCGAUCAAAAGGGAUCGUAGGAAGGGAAAAAGGGAGGAGUUCGAUCAAAAGGGAUCGAGGAAAAAAAAAAGCGAUCAAUAGGGAUCGUGUAUCACACAGUAAUGUUCUCGUGUAAAAAGAGGGGAGGACAGUUUAGGUUUAGCCGUGGAAAGAAAAGCCUACGGAAAAGACCACGGUAACCUUGGUCAAUAUUGUCAUUGAAGAAACUAUAACAAUUGUCAGACGGCACUGGUCAAGUACAUCAUCAGUAUGCAUUUUAUAUUAAAAAAUAAUGAGAAAUAUUACACAGAACUGAACUGAACUUUUUUAUGUAAAAUCUAUGAUGAACUAUUAUAGUGAAAUGGUCGUUUUGAACUAGGAUCAACAUUUAUAUCUUUCUUAUUCAUUAUAUGGACUAUCCCCAUAAGUUUGCAUUUUAAUUAAAACUGGACAUAUUUACAAAGAGAUCACUGUUCCUAAAGAUCACUAUAAAUGAAAAUAUAGUAUUAAAACUGCAAAGAAGAAAAAUAUCCGUAUAUUGUGGUAAGAGUGGAAAAACGAAUUGUGUAAGAAACUUCAAGGACGUUUAUCGGAUAAGAUAUCAGAAAUAAUGAGGAAAUAAUGUGUGAUAUUUGUAAAGUGUCAUUCUCUGUAGAAUGUAACCACAUUCAGCUUGAUGAGAAGCCAUGUUGUAAUGAUAUGUGGCUAUUCAUUCUUUCAGAAUAAAAAGUUAACUAUGCAUAAAUGUAGUAAUACAGAAGAGAUACCAUUUCACUGUGAUAUCUGUAGUAAAUCAUUCUGUCGAAGUAAUGACUUAACAAGACUCAGAUGUAUACAUGCAGGAGAGAAGCCAUAUCACUGUGAUAAAAGUUUUACUCAUGAACAUGAAGUAACUAAAUGCAUACAUAUUCGAACAGGAGAAAAACCAUAUCACUGUGAUAUCUGUGGUAAACCAUUCUCCUGAAAUGGAGUUUUAACUAAACACAAAAGUAUCCAUGCAGAAGAAAAACCAUAUCACUGUGAUAUCUAGUAAGUCAUUCUCUGCAAAUGAUAAGUUAACUACACACAAACACGUUCAUACUGGUGAGAAAGUAUAUUGCUGUGAUGUUUGUGGUAAAUCAUUCUCUAACAAGUACAACUCAGCUACACAUACAAGAGAGUAGCCAUAUUGCUGUAAUAUAUGUGGUAAAGUUGUGAAGCCAUACUCUUGUGAUUUGUGUGGUAAAUCAUUUUCUCAAAAUAGUAACUUACCUACACACAAAUGUGUUCGUACCAGGGUGAAACCAUAUCACUGUGAUAUCCAUGGUAAAUCAUUCUCUCAAAAUGGAAACUUAACUAUGCACAAGCAUGUUCAUACAGGAAAGAAACUAUAUCAUUGUGAUGUUUGUGGUAAAUAAUUCUCUGGAAGUAUUGUGUUAACUGGACACCAGUGUAUUCAUACAAGAGAAAAGCCAUAUCAUUUAACACGGUAAGAGAGCUUAGGUCCGUGGGAGGAGCUAUGCUAGCAGGUUCUACUUUACCAGAUUGGUUCUCUCACUAUGUACAAACUAAAUGUGUUCCAUUCUCCCAAAGUGGUUCCAGUUGAUGGUGGGAGACCAAUUUGUGCAUGGGUGAUCUGAUUGGGCGGUGUGGGGUUCUUUGUUAUCAGGGUGGGAUGUUCUGGUCGUGGGGCCUGUGACCAUGAGUUCUUUACCGACUGGGUUUCAUAGGUUGGCCCAGUAUCUCUUGGUACAUUGUCCACGGUUGUUCCCUUCUGACCCAUAGCUGGCUCUGGCUUUUCAUAUGACAUUAGGGUAGGUCUCUGUGCUUGUAUGGUGGUUAUGAGCUUGAUGUUCACACGUUGGAGAAUUAGGGGGUGGGUCUUGUGGCUGUAUGGGAGGUUCCUGUUAGGUGUCAGAAGAUGCAAUCAGGCCCGGUUGGCGUAUUGACCAGCUGUGGCUUGCAUAGGGGGUGGUGUUGUUGUUUAUGAUCUGGGUGAGACUCUGGUUGCUGGUCUGGUUGCUGGCCAUCUUGUGCCAUUGAUGUGAUUCCUUGCUCCUUUAUUGGUUACCUUAAUCGAUCAGCCAUUUACACCUGGAAAAUGCCACAAAUCAGUAUGAUGAAAAACGAUAAGACUAAAAACAUACGGCAGCCAGGUGCUGAUAAACUGGUGGCCUGUAGGUCAGUGAUGGGACCCACAGGUCAGGCUCGACAUGGAGCAAUUACAUGUUGAGCCGAAGAGAGACUUUCUCUUGGGGUAGAUAAAGAGUCACAUCCGCCCCAUGGUAUGAAUAAUGACUCCAUACAAGACUUAGACAUAUAUCCAGAUUUAGACAAUAGUAGUUAUGGAAGUUUGAUACGCUCGACACUGGUAUAUUACAGAAAUUGACCUGGCGGGUUUGAGUUGUGAUACCUGAUGCACUCUGGUGUUGGAUGGAAGUUAGCUUCCACCUGGUUUUGGCAAGGAUGCCCUAGAGGAUGACUUAUCUUAUUCUGGGAAGUUCCCAGAAGAAGUGUUGAACAGGGUGAAUCCUAAUAUGGUCAGGGAUGGCUUUUGUCUUGCUGUCCCUUAUGCUUCAGUUGCUCUAACUUGUUCUUUAUGUCCACAAUUUUUCUCCUCCCUGUGACAGUGGGGAGAACAUCUGGAAUGUAGACAUGGUGUGAGGCCUGUCUACAAAUGCAAGAAAAGCUGUUAAAUGUGAAGUAACUACACAAAUGUACUCAUACAGGCGAAAAGCCAUAUCAGUGUGAUGUGCAUGGUAAAUCAUUCUCUGAAAAGGGAGUCUUAACUCAAAAUACGCUUAGCUACACAUAAGUGUAUUCAUACAGGAGAGAAGCCAUAUCACUGUGAUAUUUGUGAUAAAUAUUUUGCUGUUAAAUGUGCAGUGACUGUACACAAACAUACUCAUACAGGAGAGAAGCCAUAUCAGUGUGAUGUUUGUGGUUCUCUGAAAAGGGAGUCUUAACUAAACACAUACGUAUCCAUACAGGAGAAAAGCCAUAUCACUGUGACAUCUGUGGUAAAUCAUUCUCUGGAAGUAGUGACUUAACUAGGCACAAACAUAUUCAUACUGGAGAGAAACCAUAUCACUGUGAAUUCUGUGGUAAGUCAUUCUCCACAAGUAGCGUCUUAACGAUUCACAAACGCAUUCAUACAGGAGAGAAGCCAUAUCACUGUGAUAUCUGUGGCAAAUCAUUCUCUGCAAAUGAUAAGUUAACUUCUCACAAAUGUGUUCAUGCAAGAGAGAAGUCAUAUCACUGCGAUAUGUGGUAAAUCAUUCUCUCUAAAUGGUGAAUUAACUAAGCACAAAAAUGUUUAUACAGAAGAGCAGCCGUAUGACUGUAAGAUCUGUUAUAAUUCAUUCUCUUAGAAAUGUCACUUGGUUAAACAUAUAGCGAUUUAUAUAGAUGUGUAACUAUAUUACUAUUAAAAUUCAUUUUACCUGUUUAGUUAGGGAUUAAUCUUGUUGGCAGCAGUUGUAUUCAUGGUUAACUUUAUAAGUGUUUUAUAGCCAGUUAGCAUUUUCCAAUGCUAACUAUUUAAAAAGGUAAAGAACCCUUUGUUCAUGAAUGACCAUGGGAUUGCAUCUAAAAAUUUCCCCUCCAAGGUACAAAUCCAUGUAAAGUUGUUUAUGGAAUACCAACCAGCCUCUCCUCUCUAUACCACCAGUGUUAUCCAAGAGAAAGACAAAGGCCGAUACGGCUUGGCACCAGUGAUGUUGCAACUCAUCCUCACAGCUGAGUGAAUUGGAGCAAUGCAAAAUAUAGUGUCUUGCUCAAGAACACAGCACACUGCCUGAUCUGGGAAUUGAACUCACUACCUCAUGAUUGUGAACCUGACACUCUAACCACUGAGCCAUGUGCCUUAACCAUUUAAUCACCUUUUAUUAUAUACUUGGAUAUGACUUACACAAUCUAAACGCAGGAUAUGUGCAUUUUCUCAACCUUCAUUUUAUAAAUAGUUAUCUAAUGUAACCAUAAAUGUAUUGAAUGAUGCAGCACAAAGAUAUAACACAGUGGAAACAACCCGGCAACACAAUAUAAUAUAUAAAAGCACAACUAAAUCUACAAGUGUGAGAUGACUGAACUCUGUGUUAUUGUUAAUAAAAGCAUUUAUAUAUAUACUCAAUUUAACAUCUCUCCAGAAGAUAUUAUGUUACUCUGAAAACCUUUUACAUCAACUACAGAUAACAGCCAAAACAGGAUCACAGUGAAUAAGUUUCUUCUUCAGGACUGAUCAAUUAAUCAUUUACAAGACACGUGUAUUCUCAUGUGAGAAUAAUUGCUCACAUAUCGAGUACAGAAUAGCUGCUUCAUGCUUGUACUUUAGAUUUCAUGUUAACAAACAAUCUGGUAUGGUAGAACAAACCUUCACUUACCAACAAGCUACAACCAUUUAUUACAAUCGUUCCUCUUCCUCUCACUCAGUAAGCUGUGUACAGUCCCUGCCUGAAACACCUCUUAUCUUUUCAGUCUAACUGAGAACCUAUCAGUCUCUCAACCUGCUAGAAACAGUACCACAUCUCGAAUAAAAACUAUUCAUUAGAAGAGGGAAAAUUUAUUCCUGUCCUAUCUGUGCUCACAUAAACUGACAACAAAUGUUUCCAAACGUAUAUUUUAUGGAUAUGAACGUAUGUAAAUUGUGUAAUUAAAAAAAUAACAUUCAAUCAGUUUGUAAGAUAAAAAUAAAUAUGUGGAACAUGCAUCAAUGAAUAAUGACAUGCCAGACACAAAACUGGAUGUUUUUACUGUACAAGGCAAUGAAAAGGCUCAUUUGCUUAAAGUUAAAUCAAAUGACAUCAUAUGAAAAUGUGGAUACAAAUAGUUGUUACCUUUAUUCCAAGAUACAUUUAGAUAUUCAUUGGUCAGUUAAAAUUUCUCAAGAGCAACCUUCAACUUCAUCAGUUAGAUUGAUUAAUUAUUAAAAUAUUGCUUAUUUUAGAAAUAAGCCCACAUUUGGAAGUCAUACUCAUGGUUUUAGCAGAUUGUAAUAAACUCUGUUCUCUCUGAUGUAAUAAUAGAAAUAUUCUUAUACAACUAGAAUUUUAUUUAAUGUAGCCAUGAAAGGUUACAUUAUAAUAUACAAUCCACUAUCAUCAGGUAAGGUUUGAAACAUUGACAUGAUGGUGGUGGAUUGUAUAUGAUGAUGUAAUCUUUUGUGAUUACAUUAAAUAAAAUUCUACUGAAGCAGUAUUGAAUGAACUUUGAAAUGCCAUUUGUGUUUACAUUUUUUAUACACUUAGUAUUGAAUAAAAAAAAUUGUAAUACUAA